UACGUAGGUGGCAAGCGUUGUCCGGAUUUACUGGGCGUAAAGGGAGCGUAGGUGGAUUUUUAAGUGAGGUGUGAAAUACUCGGGCUCAACCCGAGAACUGCAUUUCAAACUGGAAAUCUAGAGUGCAGGAGAGGAAAGUGGAAUUCCUAGUGUAGCGGUGAAAUGCGUAGAUAUUGGGUGGAACACCGGUGGCGAAAGCGGCUCUCUGGUCCGGACCUGACGCUGAGGCGCGAAGGCGUGGGGAGCAAACGGG
rnacentral:rRNA from 1 species